rnacentral:rRNA from 1 species
UAGGGAAUCUUCGGCAAUGGACGAAAGUCUGACCGAGCAACGCCGCGUGAGUGAAGAAGGUUUUCGGAUCGUAAAACUCUGUUGUGAGAGAAGAACAAGGACGUUAGUAACUGUACGUCCCCUGACGGUAUCUAACCAGAAAGCCACGGCUAACUACGUGCCAGCAGCCGCGGUAAUACGUAGGUGGCAAGCGUUGUCUGGACUUAUUGGGCGUAAAGCGAGCGCAGGCGGUUUCUUAAGUCUGAUGCGAAAGACCCCGGCUCAACCGGGGAGGGUCAUUGGAAACUGGGAGGAUGUAGUGCAGAAGAAGAGAUUGGAAUUCCAUGUGUAGCGGUAAAAUGCGUAAAUAUAUGGAGGAACACCGGUGAAAAAGGCGGCUCUCUGGUCUGUCACUAACGCUGAGGCUCGAAAGCGUGGGGAGCAAACAGG